rnacentral:sRNA from 1 species
UGUAACAAUCAACAGCUAAUGUGUUACA